rnacentral:rRNA from 1 species
UGCGUAGGCGGAACUUUAAGUCAGUGGUGAAAUCCUGCGGCUCAACCGUAGAACUGCCAUUGAUACUGAUGUUCUUGAAUGCAGUUGAGGUAGGCGGAAUGUGUAAUGUAGCGGUGAAAUGCUUAGAUAUUACACAGAACACCGAUUGCGAAGGCAGCUUGCUAAACUGUGAUUGUCGCUGAUGCACGAAAGCGUGGGGAGCGAACAGGAUUAGAUACCCUGGUAGUCC